UUUCUCGUUCCUUUCCCGUUUUCUCGGCAAACAGUUGAGGUGUUCUGGCAUAUUCGAUUUGAAAUCCAACGUGAACGAGUCAUUUGAGACAGAAUUAAAAUUUUUUCAUCUCUGUGAUGAGAGCAAAGUGGCGAAAGAAGAGAAUGCGCAGGCUAAAGCGCAAGAGGAGGAAGAUGCGUGCGAGGUCUAAAUAAACGACUUUCACAUAUAUUCUCUCUGUAGGAACAACAUAUUCAAUCACUAUGUUUCAAUGUUGGACAAUUAGCUGAACAAGAUUGCAGCUGAAUAAAAUUCCCAAGACACACACAUAAAUGCAUUGGAGAAGUUUUUCAAACGGAGAGAAAUUUAUACAUGUACGAUCUUGUAUAAUUAAAUACACUUCGAUACAACAUU